AUCGCGUCUCAGCCUUUUGGCUAAGAUCAAGCGUAGUAUCUGUUCUUAUCAAAGUUGAGUGCAAUAUAGUCACCAGGAAUAAAGCAAAUAGAAGGACCAUUUAAUCUUAAUUUUCCCUGAAUAUAA
rfam:Otolemur garnettii contig095423, whole genome shotgun sequence.